GAAAAUUGAAAGAAGAGUAAAUGUAUUCGGAACAGUAAGACGGGACUUUUGUGUUCUCCCUCUGUGUCUCACACCAACAAACAAUCAUCUUCGUUUGCCAUCCUUUUUAUGGUUCGAAUUAGAUGUUCCCUGUAUUUUGUGGUGCAAAUCAAACCAAUAAUUCAUAGCUUUUUUCUGAAACGCAACCAAUACUCAUCUCUCCUUUCUGUCGUCAUUAUUAACGUACAGAUAGAACCAUCAUCUGCGAUCACUUCUUCCGGUUGAACCGAUGACGGGGGACCGAGUCUAGAUAGGUGACGACGGCGGCGGUGUUUCGUGGCAGAGUAAAUUGUUGGUGGAGGGUUCACACUCAUCGUUGAUAUUGUUCUUCUUUUGUGUUGUUUAUUUUUUAAGAGUUAUAGAAAUUAUGUGGUAAAUGAUAGUGUUAGUGUGAGUGUGUCGGUGCUUUAAGCAUUAUAAAGGAUGUGAAACGGUGGCACGGGGGAAACGGUAGUGACUGUUGGAGGAGACGCAUCGGAGCAUGAUUAGGACGACAAUUGAAUAAUUGCAACGGUUAAAUAACGGUACCGAUUGGGGAUUUGUUUUUAAAGUUUAGAAGUUGUUAAGCUUGGGGGCUCAUACAUGUGAACUGGUGCCUAUUUUGAAUUGAAUGGCCGAAUGGGUGCCUAUUGGAUGAAGAGAUGCGAUGGUGCAGUUAAGGCAGUAGUUGUUAAUUGUUAUUGUAUCAAAUUAUACUCUUAUACAAUUAGCAACUUGGGUCAUGUCCUAUUUGUUUAAAAGUCACACCCUUUAAUUAUUUUACUCACACCCUUUCAUUAUAUAUUGUAUAAUUAUAUAUUAUACCCUUAUACACCCCUUAUAAAAAAAGUCACAACUUUUAAAUAUUUCACACCAUUUCAAAAUGUUGCAACUCUUACUUUUAAAUAUAUCACACUCUUACAAAAGACACAACCCUUGAUAUACAUACAAAAAGUCAUGACCAUUCAAACUACUUUUAAAUAUAUUUAAAAAUAGUUUAAGGGUUGUAACCUUUUAAAGGGGUGGGAUAUAUUUAAAAGUUCUGACCUUUUAUAAGGGGUUUUAUAAAAAGUUAUAACCCUUCAAACUACUUUAAAAUAUGUCACACCCCUUUUGAAAAGUCACAACUUUUAAAUAUAUCGCACCCCUUUAAAAAGUUACAACCCUUAAACUAUUUUUAAAUAUAUUACACCCUUCACGAAAAUUCACAACUCCUUGCUUAUACCCAUUCGUUCGCAUUGAUUAAAACAAUUAUGAUACUUUGUUGCAUAUCUAUAACACUGUGUUCCAGAGAUCCACUUAACUACUGGAGAAGAGAAAAGAAUUGUAAUGAAAGAAAAGGGUAUUUGUGUUCCAGAGAUUUUAUUACAUGAAGAAAGGGAUAGAAGAGAAGAGAUGGGGGAGGUUUUUUAGGGGUGAAUUGUUUCAUUCCAAAUCGGGAUGAUUGGGAGAGAAGAGAAGAAUCAGAGACCACGUUCCUAUUUCACUUCCUAUUUUACCCUCGUAAAACAUAUGGCGGGUAUAUCUCCCACAACCCGCCAAAUCUUCAACCCACUUCCACAAUUGCAAAACUGUUCCAUCAAUGUUUCUGUAACCUGCUCUCCUCAGCGAUCUACUGUUCAUCUCCCAGCAAUUAAGUAUACGAUGGAUAAUCAGAUACGCGAGGCAGCUGAACUUGUGCGAGCUAGACAAUUGCAAGCAGCUAAUCUGAUUUGCUUUUUGGUGGCUUUCGUUGCACUACGUAGAUUGUUAAACAGAAGUCGUGCUAAUUUACCUACUAAUGAUGAAAUUUUACAACGACGAUAUGUGCGAGAAGAGAUGUUACACGACCUUUCAAACAGCGGUAAAUGUCGUGAGCUUAUCCGCAUGAGUGGGAAAGCUUUUAUGACAUUGUGCAGUAUCUUAAAGCGUGAUCGUGGACUUCGAGCUACUCAACGCAUGUCUGUUGAAGAGCAAGUUGCAACAUUUUUGCAUAUUGUAGGCAAUGAUUUGAGAAAUCGGUUUACCUCGUGGCUAUACCGUCGUUCUGGGUCAACAAUUAGUCGGUGCCUCCAUAGAGUUUUGCGAGCAAUUAUAUCAUUAGAAGGUCGUUAUAUUCAACAACCUAAAGGUGAUAUUGUCCCAAAAGAAAUUCAGGAAAAAAAGAGAUUUUAUCCUUUUUUUAAGGAUUGUAUCGGUGCAAUUGACGGAACACAUGUUCGCGUCAAAGUACCUAAUAAGGAUGCCCCUAGAUAUCGUGGUCGUAAGGGAUACCCGACAACAAAUGUAUUGGCUGCUUGUACAUUUGAUUUAAAGUUUACGUAUGUACUAACUGGAUGGGAAUGUACAGCAUCAGACUCAAGAAUUAUAAAGAAUGCGCUUACUAGAGAUGAUAAACUAAUCAUUCCAACUGGUAGAUAUUGUUUAGUAGACGCGGGUUUACCUCACACGACUACCCUAAUGGCACCAUAUAGAGGUGUUAGGUAUCAUUUGAAAGAGUACUCCACGCGCGCCCCUGAGAAUGCAAAGGAGUUGUUUAACCUUCGUCAUGCAUCAUUACGCAACGCAAUUGAACGAGCAUUUGGUGUCCUAAAAAAGAGGUUUCCUAUUAUUAGAAGUACAGCGGAACCAUUUUACUCGUGUGAAACACAGUCUGGCAUCUUUUAGCAUGUUGUAUUUUACACAACUUUUUACUAGAGGAAGAUCGUGACAAAGAUCUUGAAGAUGAGGUCAUACAAGAGGUGUUAGAUGGACCACAAGAGGAAGAAAGUCAAAUUACAAGAGACAUACGUGAGAAAGUUAUCAUGAGCAAACUCGAACCCACCGGAAAGAAGGAACAAAUAAAGUGGACAGAAAGUAUGGAUAAUAUAUUCAUACAAUCCAUGAUUGCGCAACAGGAUAGUGGCAAUAGGAUUAAUGGCAGUUUUACUUCACAAGCAUACAACAACAUGAUUGAGGAGCUGAACACAAAGCUUCAAAUUGAAUUGACCAAAAAAACAUUUGAAGAACCGUUUAAAAACGUUGAAAGAGCAUUUUUCUCAAUGGUACGACAUGUUUCGUGGAACGUCAUUGAGUGGAUUCUCAUGGAAUUCAGAAACUCAAUUAAUUGAAGCGGAGGAUGAAGUCUGGGAUAAAUUAAUAGAUUCAAAGCCUGAUGCUGCGGCAUUGAAGACAAAGAAAGUCUCAAACUUCAAUGAAAUGCUACAAUUAUUUGCAAAAGAUAGGGCAUCCGGUGCACAAGCUGAGACAACUAAAGAAAGAAAUGCCCGACUGAAAGAAAAUGACAGCGUUAACAUAGAAACAGUUCCAGAAGUUGAUGACUUCUGCGCUGCCAAUGAUGUAGUUCUGGAGAGCCAAUGCAAUACUGAUGAUGAUAUUCAAGUGCUACCUCCUACGUCUUCUCGUGCAAAGAAAUGUAAGAGUAGAAAAAGAAAAGUUGAACAACAAGAUGAAGAUUUAACCUCUAUGAUUAUGAAUGGCGUUGGCAGUGUGGCUAAUGCUAUUUUAGAAGGCAACAAAAUACUUGAAAGAGCUUAUCAUCGCGAGUACACAGGUGAAGAAAUUUAUAAUGCACUAGAGCCAUUGGGUUUGGAUUCCCAUGAAAUACGUGGAGCUUUAAAUUUCUUGGCAACCAACCAAGCAAAAGCAAGGAUGCUAUUUAGUUGUCCUCCUCUGAUAAGGUUGGGUUUACUAAGAGAUAUGAUGGGUUCCGGUAACUAAGCGAGUUUAGGAUGCUUUUGUCUUCUUGAAGUUUUCCUUUUUAGUAAGUUUUAUUUCUUUGUUGGGUAUUUUACUAAUUGCUUAUGGAUCUUGGGAUUGUUUAUGAUGCUUAAUUACAUUAGGUUUGGGAUUGUUUAUGACUCUAAAUUAAUCAGUCUUGGGUCUGUUUUUUUUUUUACUAAGCCUAGCUCGGUUUGGGACUGUGUAUGAUGCUACAGUACUUAUAUUCACUGCUGAGUAUUUGGAACGAAACACAGAUAAUCUUGACCUGUUGACACCUGGGUAAGCCUUUUAUAUAAACCAAUUUACUUAUAUUGGAGUCGAAGCAACUUAACUUUGAUGAUCUGGGAUUGUACUUUGUUAAUGAUGAUUAUAGUAUAUUGGUUAUGAUGAUGGUGUUGUAUACAUGAUACUAUUGAGACGGUUCGAUUCGAAACGGUUCGCGUCGAAACGGUUUGGGUCGAAACGACACGGGUCGAAACGGUUCGCAUCAAAACGGUUCGAUUUCAAACACUUUCUGCUUGUGAUUUGGGACAUUGAAGCAAGAGUUUGUGGAGUUUGAAAUGGUUCCAGGGCAUUUCUGAAUGUUUCGGACCAGUUUUAGGUGUUUUAGACCUGUGCAGACAUGAAUUUGACCUGAAUUUGCAGAAUUUGACUGGAAUUGGACCGAAAUCUGGCUGGAUUGCCGUGAUGGACGCAAAGCGGUAUAGCUGCUCAUGCGCCUUUGACUACCUUGAUCCUUGGUUUUAUGAAGCGUGAAGUGCACCAAGGCGAUAAGGUUAUAAGCAUCUUAGCGUAAACUGUUACUAUUCUAUUUAAUUAUUGUGAAUAACUUGAGUAUAAUGAUUUUAACUAUUUAUAAGUCAGAUCCACCAUAGAUGUUUCUAUGAAUAUCUUACUUGAAACUGUAUUUCACAAGUAAUGUAGAAGUUCAUAUAUAGAAUGUAAAUGUCUUUAUAUAUAUACACACUGUACAGCACCCCAAUAUGUUCCAAUGAAGUGAUGAUGGUACUCGAGGACUAGUCAUUUUCCUGCUGGUGUCACCGCAAGAGCGUAACCCGAAGCAUGUGCCAAUUCGACAAACGCAUCACACGCGUGUGAAACGCGUAGUUUAGGUCCACCCACCAUCACAGGCUUAACUGCUUUGUUGAAGAACUCUGCUGCAGUAAUAAACCUAAAUGAACAGCUAAAUGGUUCGCGUCGAAACUGGUCUGAAACAUUCAGAAAUGCCCUGAAACGGUUCGCGUCGAAACGGCACGGGUCAAAACGGCACGGGUCGAAAUGGUUUGCGUCGAAACGGUUCGAUUUGAAGCGGUAUGGGUCGAAACAAUCGGAGUACUGGUCGAACCGUUUCGUGUCAGAACGAUUCGCGUCGUACGAGCCUGAUCAGUGAGAUAUAUUCUUCUAGUGCUAUAUGGUUAUUGCAAGAUAGCAUCUACUAUUGUUUUUUUUCUUUUGAACUGCUAGCAUCUACUAUUGUAAUACAUUUUAGUUGCUUGUUCUUUUUGAAACUUUAAAAUUAAAUCUUAUUGACAUGCUUGGCAA